rnacentral:rRNA from 1 species
GUGAGAAGUCCGGCUUGCUCGACUGAAGACCGGACGUCCCAGGAUGCGAGUGCCAGUGGGCCACUUUUGGUAAGCAGAACUGGCGCUGUGGGAUGAACCAAACGCUGGGUUAAGGCGCCCGAUGCCAGACGCUCAUCAGAUCCCAUGAAAGGUGUUGGUUGCUAUAGACAGCAGGACGGUGGCCAUGGAAGUCGGAAUCCGCUAAGGAGUGUGUAACAACUCACCUGCCGAAGCAACUAGCCCUGAAAAUGGAUGGCGCUGUAGCGUCGAGCCCAUACCCGGCCGCCCCGGCUGGGCACGGAAGCUUAAGCCGGGGUGAGUAGGAGGAGUCGCAGCGGCGUGCGUUGAAGGUGCCGGGCGUGGGCCCGCCUGGAGCCGCCGCUGGUGCAGAUCUUGGUGGUAGUAGCAAAUACUCAAGUGAGAACCUUGAGGACUGAGGUGGAGAAGGGUUCCAUGUGAACAGCAGUUGAACAUGGGUCAGUCGGUCCUAAGGGAUAGGAGAAAUCCGUUCCGAAGCGGGACCUGCGUGCACCGUGAGGUCCCGUGGUCGACCGAAAGGGAAUCGGGUUAAUAUUCCCGAACUCGGACGCGGAGAUCGGCCCCUCGGGGUCAACUGCGGUAACGCAACCAAACUCGGAGACGUCGAUCGGGGUCCCGGGAAGAGUUGUCUUUUCUUUGUAAGGGAUCGGCUCCCUGGAAUCGGCUCGCCCGGAGAUAGGGAUGCUGUUCCCGUAAAGCACCGCGCCUCUUGCGGUGUCCGGAGCGCUCCGGUCGGCCCUUGAAAAUCCGAGGGAGAGUGUGAUUUUCGUGCCGGACCGUACCCAUAUCCGCAGCAGGUCUCCAAGGUGAACAGCCUCUAGUCGAUGGAACA